GGCGCCGUAGCUUAGUUGGUAAAGCGCCUGUCUUGUAAACAGGAGAUCGAGUGUUCGAAUCCCUCCGGUGCCU
rnacentral:tRNA from 1 species